CGCUCCAGCGCUGGAGCUCUUGCCGGCGUCUCCCGGCUAGUGCGGCUGAAGUGCCGGCGGCUAAGGGCCCGCAAGCAGCCGCCACUCCUCCGGCGCUGGCUGUGGCGCUGGGGUCGUUGUUUCGUGACAACCACUCAGGUAGCCGUUUCUGAGACAGCAGAUGCGGCCGCUUUAGCCCUAAGCGGGCACCGCGGCUGUCUGCACUGUCUCUGCCAGGGACUGACUCUUCUCUUCCGGACCGGACGCCAAGCGGUGACCCUGAGCCAACAGCAGGAGCGCCCGGAAAUGGCGGCCUGGACUGCCUCGCACUGGCCCAUCAAAGGGAUCCUGAAGAACAAGACCUCUACAGCUUCCUCUAUGGUGGCGUCGGCUGAACAGCCCAGCGGGAGUGUCGACGAGGAGCGGAGCAAAAAAUCCCAGAAGUGGAAAGAAAUGAACAUCCUGGCGACAUAUCAUCCAGCAGACAAAGACGAUGGUUUAAUGAAAAUAGAUGAACCAAGCACUCCUUACUGUCGUUAAGAUGGGGAUGGUGAAGAUGCAUGUGGUGAUACAGAAACCACUGAAGCCAUGGCAGCAGAUAUCUUAGCUAAGAAAUUAGCGGCUGCUGAAGGCUUGGAUCCAAAGUAUAGGGUUCAAGAACAAGAAAACAGUGAACAGGAGGCUAGUGACCUCUCAUCUGAGGAAGGAGAAAAAAGGCGACAAUUUGAAAUGAAAAGGAAGCUUCACUACAGCGAAUGACUUAAUAUCAAAUUAGCUAGAGAAUUAAUGUCAAAAGAUCUAUAUGAUGAUGGCAAAGAUGAAGAAAUGUUAAAGACUGCAGAUGGAGAAAGCAUGAAGACGGAAGAAUCAAAUCAAGGCUCUACUACAGGUGACCCACGGCAAAACAAAUUCACGAAGUUCAUAGAAGAGCUUUGUUCAACACUGCAACUGUUUGCUAGAUACAAAUCCUGUUACUAUAAUACAGUUCUUCUUGUUCUCCACAAUUUAUGA